UCGAAAAUAUUUUUGAGCAGAAAUGUAAAUUCAAUUUAUUGUAGGUACUCAUUUAUUUGUGCGCAUGACAAUCUAAUUUCGAAUUCAAUUCUCAAGGACCGGAUAUUUUUCCGUAAUAAACUUAUCAGUUUUAAUGGCAGGUAUUUCAACUUGAAUUAUGAACAGGCAAUUACCAUUACUCUUUUCAGAAUGCAUCAUUAUUUGAAAAUCUCAAAAAAAUUAUACAUUGACAAACAAUGUAAUAAGUUCUGCUAUGCGGUUCCGUGCAACUGUGUUGUACUUUUAUUUAUAAGGAAACUUUAUUCACUGGAACAAAAUGAAAGUAACCAAGAAAUCGAUGUCAGUAGACGAUGUUGGGAAAGAAAACUCAUAAAAAGUUUCAAGAACUAUUAUUUUCAUCACCAAAACCAUUUUUUUUUCAAAGGACUACUAUGGUCGAAUUGUUUCGAAAAAAAGCUUGAGUGGCUCUUGUUCGUACCAAAUUUUAUCCACUUACACAUUCAGUAUUUCCGAGAAAACAUCUGAAAGGCCGGUGAGCAGAUUCUUCAUUUUUUUUUUAUAUCUCAAAAGGAAAAACUAGCUCCUUAUAAAAUGCGAAAUAAAAAACCAAAAAGAGAGUUCGAAGUAAUUAAGGCAUUCCUCAUCAAGAUCAAGUUCAUAUAUCUCCACUUUCUCUCUGUAACUUGUACCAAGAAAUCAUUCUCAGAUCACAGACCUUUAUCUACCUUGAACUAGCUCUGGAAAAUUACUUAGCAUUAAUUAAAAUAGAUUACGUAGAACACCUAGUUAACAGUGAAUAAAUUGUCACAGAGA